rnacentral:tRNA from 1 species
GGCUCCAUCGUCUAGCGGUUAGGACGCUGCCCUCUCACGGCGGAAACAGGGGUUCGAUUCCCCUUGGAGCUACCA